rnacentral:rRNA from 1 species
GCUUGUGGCCAUACCACCCUGAACACGCCUGUUCUGGGUUGGCGCUUGGUUAGUACUGGGAUGGGAGACCGCCUGUGAAUACCGUGUGCCAUAAGAU